rnacentral:rRNA from 1 species
GUGGGGCCUUGCAGGUCGACGAUUCGCGGCCUAUCAGCUUGUUGGUGAGGUAAUGGCUCACCAAGGCUCCGACGGGUAGCUGGUCUGAGAGGACGAUCAGCCACACUGGGACUGAGACACGGCCCAGACUCCUACGGGAGGCAGCAGCAGGGAAUUUUGCACAGUGAGCGAAAGCUUGAUGCAGCGACGCCGCGUGCGGGAUGAAUGCCUUCGGGUUGUAAACCGCUUUCAGGAGGGACGAAGCGAAGGUGACGGUACCUUCAGAAGAAGCCCCGGCCAACUACGUGCCAGCAGCCGCGGUAAUACGUAGGGGGCGAACGUUGUCCGGAUUUAUUGGGCGUAAAGAGCUCGUAGGCGGCUCAACAAGUCGGCCGUGAAAACCCGGGGCUCAACCCCGGGACGCCGGUCGAAACUGUUGUGGCUAGGGUUCGGUAGAGGAGAGUGGAAUUCCCGGUGUAGCGGUGAAAUGCGCAGAUAUCGGGAGGAACACCAGUACCGAAGGCGGCUCUCUGGGCCGAUACCGACGCUGAGGAGCGAAAGCUAGGGGAGCAAACAGGAUUAGGUACCCUGGUAGUCCUAGCUGUAAACGUUGGGCACUAGGUGUGGCGGACUCAUUGACGUCUGCCGUGCCGCAGCUAACGCGUUAAGUGCCCCGCCUGGGGAGUACGGAAU